CCUACGGGAGGCAGCAGUGAGGAAUAUUGGUCAAUGGGCGCGAGCCUGAACCAGCCAAGUAGCGUGAAGGAUGAAGGCUUUCGGGUUGUAAACUUCUUUUAUCAGGGACGAAGCAAGUGACGGUACCUGAUGAAUAAGCCACGGCUAACUACGUGCCAGCAGCCGCGGUAAUACGUAGGUGGCAAGCGUUAUCCGGAUUUACUGGGUGUAAAGGGCGUGUAGGCGGGAGUGCAAGUCAGAUGUGAAAACUAUGGGCUCAACCCAUAGCCUGCAUUUGAAACUGUACUUCUUGAGUGCUGGAGAGGUAAUCGGAAUUCCGUGUGUAGCGGUGAAAUGCGUAGAUAUAAGGAGGAACACCAGUGGCGAAGGCGGAUUGCUGGACAGUAACUGACGCUGAGGCGCGAAAGCGUGGGGAGCAAACAGGAUUAGAUACCCGGGUAGUC
rnacentral:rRNA from 1 species